AACACUGUUAACCUGCGGUACCUGCGGAGGGAUCAUUAACAAGCUGUGGGAGAUCGAUCAAUUUGAUCUCACACCUGGCCAACCUUGUUAACCUUAAAUAUAUUGCUUUGGUGAGCCCUGCUCACCAAAGUCAAACCCUAAACUCUUGAUUGUUUCUGCUGUCUGAGCAUGCAAGUGCAAAAUUUAGUUAAAAACUUUCAACAAUGGAUCU
rnacentral:misc_RNA from 1 species